rnacentral:rRNA from 1 species
UCGCAAGAUUAAAACUCAANNNAAUUGACGGGGGCCCGCACAAGCAGCGGAGCAUGUGGUUUAAUUCGAAGCAACGCGAAGAACCUUACCUAGACUUGACAUCUCCUGCAUUACCCUUAACCGGGGAAGUCCUUUCGGGGACAGGAUGACAGGUGGUGCAUGGUUGUCGUCAGCUCGUGUCGUGAGAUGUUGGGUUAAGUCCCGCAACGAGCGCAACCCCUAUUGUUAGUUGCUACCAUUAAGUUGAGCACUCUAGCGAGACUGCCUAGGUUAACUAGGAGGAAGGCGGGGAUGACGUCAAAUCAUCAUGCCCCUUAUGUCUAGGGCUACACACGUGCUACAAUGGAUAGUACAAUAAGACGCAAUAUCGUGAGGUGGAGCAAAUCUUAUAAAACUAUUCUCAGUUCGGAUUGUAGGCUGAAACUCGCCUACAUGAAGUUGGAGUUGCUAGUAAUCGCGAAUCAGAAUGUCGCGGUGAAUACGUUCCCGGGCCUUGUACACACCGCCCGUCACACCAUGAGAGCUGGUAACACCCGAAGUCCGNNNNNNNNNCCGUAAGGGAGGGAGCGGCCGAAGGUGGGAUUAGUGAUUAAGUGAAGUCGUAACAAGGUAACC